UUGAGUGUAACAACUCCCAAACCCUUUGUGAACAUACCACUGUUGCUUCGGCGGCUCGUCCCGGUCCCGCCCCCCUCCUGGGGGUGCCGUGGCCGGGCUCAUGGCGUCCGCCGAAGGUACCUAAACUCUUGUCUCCUAUGGUGUAUCUUCUGAGUGCUAUAAGCAAAAAACAAAAUGAAAUA
rnacentral:misc_RNA from 1 species